AGUUGGUGCGGUGAUGGGUUCAGUGAUGGGUUCAAUGUGUCUCAUUGCUGUAUUCUGUGUAAUAUGGCUGCAAAAGAGGAGAAAAGAUACCUCAUCCAGAAAACCCCCAGUUCCUGACCCUGAAAUCAGCAGAACUCCCUUAAAGACACCACCAACAUCCAAACAGGUCACACCAUCCUCCAGUCCAUCACAAAUGUGAGUAUCUCUUCCACAUUUUAACAGCUUUUUAAGAUAAAUAAUAAUUUUAUUACCUUUUGUUUU